UACAUGGGGUGCAAACGUUGCUCGGAAUUAUUGGGCGUAAAGCGCACGUAGGCGGUCCGUUAAGUCGGAUGUGAAAGCCCCCGGCUCAACCGGGGAAGUGCAUCCGAAACUGGCGGGCUAGAGUACGAAAGAGGGUCGCGGAAUUCCCGGUGUAGAGGUGAAAUUCGUAGAUAUCGGGAGGAACACCGGUGGCGAAGGCGGCGACCUGGGUCGAUACUGACGCUGAGGUGCGAAAGCGUGGGGAGCAAACAGG
rnacentral:rRNA from 2 species